UGUAAAACGAACCAAUUGGCCAGAGAGUAAUUUUCUAAGGGUGUAGCUUCCUUUUGCCCACCCUCUCUUCUGCUUUGCCUUGCUCCCCGGCUUACUCAGAGCUUCCUUGGGUGCUUUCUCACUGACCAGACCAUAUCUCUGGGAGAUGGUCGAUUGAUUAGAUCUUGUAGAAGAGCUGACCUGAGUCAGGGACUGGAUUUGCUGGCUGAGAGCAAUACCUGAAGCAGGUAAGGAAGACUGUGUUUUCCAUUUGUUUAUGGAGAGGGAGGAGAGUAAGGACUCUCUGGGGGAGAACUGAAAACUUGGUUCAGAGACACAGUUGGGCUCAUCGAUUUUGAACAGCGAUGGAAAGGAAGGCUGUGCUACCUGCUUUGUUUUCACAGGGCUGUACAUUUUCACUUACCAGCAUGUUAUCGAUGACAUCGUGGGUGAAGGCAUAGAGCAAAGUAAGUGGGCAGAUAAAAUUAGUCAAUGUGUAAACGUCACAUGUGAUUAUGAAGAGUUCCUGGCAAAAGAAGACAACUCCUUCUUUUUAGUUGAACCCUGGUUUGAGAUAUCUGAUGACAUCCUUAAUUAUGCUGUCCUGAAACUGAAGGAAAAUGGACAACAAGAACCUUCAGGGCUGUAUAAUAGAAUAGCUCCUGUACCAUCCAGUGGGUUGAUAUAUAUCGUUGGUCAUCAUGAUAUAAAACAGAAGCUUAGUGAUGACUGUGUAGUGAUUUCUCAAGACGAGCACAUUCAGGAAAGAGAAGUAGGGGAUGGCAGUGAUACUGUGCAAUAUAUCUAUGUAUACACCCAAAAAGUUCCCAAGAAAGAGUUCAUAAACCUGAACUGUGUGGUUACCUGUGAUAACACAUUUUACUGUGGGUCCUCUGGAUCUCCUGUAUUUGAUUCUAAAGGGUCAUUAGUAGCCAUGCACACUGCUGGCUUCAUUUAUGAGUAUGAAAGUGGUGUUUCCAAUAUCAUAAAGUUUGGCUCUUCUAUGAAAUGCGUCCUCAGUGAUAUUAAACAAAAGCAUAAAACAUGGCAUGAUGAGGAAUUUGUAAAUUGACAGGAUGUAGAAAUGAGUAGUCAAGAUAAUUGAGGACUGAAGAGAAUUUAAUCUAUUUUCAUUCUUAUUCUUUUAAAGUCUAACACAUUUAUACAAUUUAUAUUGACUAUAUUCAUCUACUGACACCUUCUUUCAACUCUUCUAGGACCCCAAUCCAUCUCAGUUUCAUAUAUUUGUUUUAAUUAUUAGUUUUUAAUAACUUCCUGAAUCCAAUUAGUACUGCUUAUACACCCAUAAAUAUAUGGCCACCCACUGAUACAUGAACACCUACCAGCAGCCAUGUCCCCAAAGGAGUGUGACUUCUCUUUCAUCAGCAGCCAUCAACUGCCAAUAUCUCCUGAGCAAGGGAUAGUUUUCUGGGGGCCCCAGUUCAUCUUUACAGAAUUUUGAUGGGCUUGAUCUCAUUUGGGCAACCACAACUGUGAAUAGACCUCUGCUGCAUCCCUGUAAUGUCGAGAAGGCAGUACUCCACAGCUCUUUCUCGUCCUCUUCCAUUCUUUGUGCCCCCUGUUCAUCAAGUUCCAUGAAAUGAUCAGGGUUAAUACAAAUGACCCAUCUGCACCUGAAUCUCAUGGUUAUUAUACUCGGCACUUGAGCACUGUUUUGUCUUCUCUGACCAAUGUUGAGUAUGACACAAAUCUCCCCAUAUCUGUAGCCUAUUUUCUUCUGCUUUUAAAAAUUAGAUGAGUAUUAGUUCUUUUAAUAUCUACAACAUACAUACAAUAUAUUUUGAUCAUACUCACCUUUCUGUUCCUCUUCCUAACUCCUCCCAGAUCUACCCCACCUCUCUUCCAACGUAGCAUCCUCUUUUUUUGGUUUGUUUUUAAAGUAACAUGAAUCCAAUUUGUGGUACCCAUAUACUGAUGGAUGUUGUGGUAUAUACUGGAACAUGUUUUAACCACCUUUAAGAAAACUGACUUUUCCUUCCCAAGUAGCCUUCAAUUACAAGAAACCCUCAGCUAAGGGUUAGAGUUCAUAAGCCCCUUCCCUAUCCAUUUCAACUGAAAGUCAAAUGAUAGCUAUCUACUUUAAUAAUUAAUCUAACUUAAAGAUUCUAACAACAAAGAAAUAUAUGUAUGUGUAGAAACUUGAAUAGAUAGAUAUGUAGAUACAUAGAUAGAUCUAUAAAUAUUUGCACCCAUAACCAUUUGUAUCUACAGUAAAUUAUAGAAUUAUCAUAGAUGUCACCAAAUCUGAUUCAUAACAGCAUAGGACAUUUCAGCCUCUUCUCAGUACAUCUCUAUAAAUUUUCAUUCUAACUUUGGGAAAUACAGAUUUUAACCACAUCUCAGUCAUUUAGUUAUCAGAGUAUAGAUAGUAAAAACAUAGAUGAUACAUACAUACACACAUCAUACUUACAUACAUGUAUAGAUACAUAGAUAAUAGCUAUUUAGAUAACUUCAUGAAUACAUAGGUAAUAAAUGCAUACAUUAAUAUAUGCAUUUGUAUAUACAUGGUGAUAUACAUAAACAUAUAAAUGAUAUAUGCAUGUAUAAAUACAUAGAUAUACACCUAUAGAUAAAUAGCUGACAUAGAUAAAAUGCAUAGAUAUAGACACAGAGACAUAGACACAGAGACAUGCAUAUUAUAAAGACAUAUAAUGGAUGUUUCUGUAAAUACAUGGAAAUAUUUCUAAAUAUAUAGAUGAUAGUAUACAGUAUUAGCAUAUAUGGCAAAAUUGUUCAUCUGUACUUGGAUGAGAAAUAAUGUUUUAUCAACUAAACAAUGCUCCUAUGCACUUUCUUUUGCCUUUAUCUGACAUAUGCCACCCUUCUAAAGUUGAGUCAAGGAUUCCUCUUAUGCCACAUACAUACCAAUUGAGUGAGAGCCUUUAAACAUUUAGAAUGGUUACACAAAUAAUAAAUUCUCUUAGGAUAACCCACAUUCAUACUGUCUUCUAAGCCUUUGAGUUCCUAAAUGAUUUUGUAAAUUUGUAUACCUUUGAGUUCCUAAAUGAUUUUGUAAAUUUGUAUACUUUAAAGUUCACUGUGUCACAUUCACUGGAUUUAGCAGAUAUGAAAUGUCAUGUGUCUGUUAGAGUAUCUACUGUAAACGUAACUUUUAUUUGCCUCAUGUAAUUGUCAUAUCUCAAGCUUAUUGCCUAAGUCUCUUAACUUAGGCCUAGUCCUGGAAGCUCCUAGCCUCCAUAUAAGUCUAGAAGGUUUUCAGACUUUGAGGCUUACUGCUAAAUAAGCUCACCCUUUCUUGAACUUUCUGAGCUCUGGCUAGAUUGGUUCAACUCAGCUUUUCUGGUUCAAAACUCCUGUCCAAGCUGACUGACUCAAUCUGGCUUCUCUUAGUUUGUUACUCAACUGCUCUGCCUAUCCUCAUACUAACUUCUACCUCCUUCUUGUUCUCUGGCUCAUUCUGUCUUCACCUUGUCUAUCUUGCUCUCUCUGUCUGCAACCUGUGUGAUCAAAUAUCCUGCAAUAAUCUACAGAGUAGUUUGGCUGUCCUAUCAAGUUCCUAUUCUGUCCUUUCUUCUUCUUGAAAGCUGGUUACCAUCUAUCUUCUUGUGGUCCUCAUAGUUUUACCUACUCCAGAAUGUCACAUAAGUGGAGUCUUUCAAGAAUGCCAAUCGACCACUAACAUUUCUUGUAUAUUUUGUGUGUUGAUAGCUCAUAUCAUCUCUAUUCAUUACUGCAUAGUGAUCAAUAGAUGUGCUACCAUUUGUUUAUUUACCCUCUUUUUCAAGAGAUCUUAGUUGCUUCCAAUGUACCGUGAUUAAUGAAUAAAAUUGCUACAAAACUCUCUGUGCUUUGGUUUUUAUAUGACAUACAUUUUCAACACUGUAGGCCAAAUACCAACCAAAGAGUAUAAUUUGAGUCUAAACUAAAUGUUCAGCUUUGUAAAACUCUGCCAAAAUUCUUCCAAAGUAAUUACUAUUUUGCAUAUUCCAACAAUAACAAAUGAGAGGUCCUAUCCCCAACACCAACAUUCAGUAUCAUCUGCUUCUGUGUUGUGGUUUAUUGGAUUUAGAUUUGAGGUGUACUAUUGGGUUGGCUAGAGAUCUGAGGAGUACACAAUUUAUUAAAGAAGUGGAGGCUAAUUAAGGGAAGCUAGACCUAAGAAUAAGAGGCUCUUUGAGUAUGAGAAGAGAAGAAGAUAUCUUCUAUAAAAUUGCAACUAGAGGAUGUCAACCAAAAGCCCUAGAGCAAGGAAAAAACUUGCUGAAAGAGGUGAUGUGCCAGUGCUGGGGACCAGCCCUAACAAGGGAUUAGGAACUGAGGAGGGACACAGCGGGCAUAAGGCCAAAGACUGAUGAUCUCUGGCCUUUUAACUCUCUCUUACUCUUCUGGGGGUUAGAAGUUGAUGGCUUUUGGAAAUUUAACUCUUGCUAAUCUAUCACUAAAAUCUGCUUACUUCUGGUAAUUUGACCCAAACUGGUAAUAGCAAGGGAAUUAGCAAAAAGACUUAAGUUUCUCUCUGGCUCAAGGAUCCCUAGGCAGGCAAGAAGCUUGGAGCUCAUUAACUCUUUUUAAGCCAGGGAAAAAAGAGGAGGAAGAAAGGGAGAAAUCAGGCACACAUUUUUUGGUUGAGCUUGACCACCUGUUUCAAAAAUUCCACAAAUGUUCAUGAAUACUUAUAUAUGCAUAUACCUACAUAUGUAUGUAUGUGCAUACAUGUAGACAAACAGACAAGACCCCCAAAACCACACAUAUACAUUUGGUGCACAGGACAGAACCCCAGAUGCUGCAUACUUUAUUUCUUUUCUCUGGCAAUUUAUACCUUCUUAGACAAAAGUUUUUAAAUCACCUCAUAGAUAAAAUGUUGCACAAAAGGGGAGUUACUGAAGGAUGUAAAUAGCAAGUUAAAGCAGUGUUUCAUUCUAUAAGUUCAUUGUAAGUUCAAAGCAACCAUUUCACAUGGCCUUGCUUUAUCAUAGUGCACACCUGUGGCUUCAUCUUUGGACCUGACUUAGAACGAAUGUUUUUUUUUUCUUGAUCCCAAAUUUGUUUCAAGACUGCUUUUCUAACCUAGUGCAAUUAGCUUGUAACACAUGAGGCUUACAGAGCUCUAUUUGCAGCUUUAUUCUAUAGAGGGCUUGACAUUAUUGUAUAAAUUUAGGAAUUCUUUAAAACCAUUAUAAUGAAUUAUGAACUUAUCAAUUUGUCUACACAGCAUUCUACAUGAAGGUACAUCUUUAUAUUAAUUCUGCAAUAAAUCUCCCCAUUAGGAUGGGUUAAUGCCCAGGAGUCAUUAGGCAC
rnacentral:lncRNA from 14 species